rnacentral:misc_RNA from 1 species
CGAUGGGUCAGGUGCCAGGG